CCGGUUCAGAUUCUGCAGUCCAGAAUAUAUUGACAUUCUCUAAAAUUGUGGAUGCCACAGACAGUGACAGUGAUAUAUUACAGAAGUCUGGAUACAAAUUUCGUUGCUCACAGCAGAGGUUUUUAUACCCGAUACUCAAAAUGAGUAUUGGGGUGUAUUAGGUUUGUGUUGAAAAUGGAUGUGUGUAACGUCCAGAAGGAAGCGUUUGAGUCGCGGUGCUGAGCCACUAUUUGUAAUAAAAUUAUGUUUUAUAACUCGCACAGCUAAUGGUUUAGCAAACUGGUUUCUGAAAAUUGUUAAAAUUGAUAAUUAUCAGAUUAUAAUAUUUGCCACCAUGCUGUGCCUAACACAACUGGAGUUAGUCAGCUAGUAAAGUCUAAUAUCAUACGGCCGUAAAUAUAUAUGUAUCUCAGAACCCAUAUCAAGAGCCAUGUUACGGAGGUUUCCAAUCAUUGUAUUAACCUGUCCCAUAUUUUCUUCCAUUUC